UUAACAGUUAAGAUCUUUAAAUUUAAAAAAUAAGGCGGUAUUUUAGUCUUAUUAGAGGAACCUGUUUAUUAAUUGAUAAUCCACGAUUUAUUUUACUUAUUUAAUUUAAUUCAUAUAUCGCUGUCAUGAAUAUAUUUAAAAAUUUAUUUUCUUUUAUUAUUUUUAUAAUUUAUGUUAAGUCAAGAUAUGGUUUAUAGAUAAGAAUAUAAUGGGUUACAUUAAAAUUUAUUUUUUUGGAUUUAAGAUGAAAAUUAAAAUGAAAUUGGAUUUAAUAGUAAAUUUAAUUAUUUAAUUAAUAUGAAUAAAGAUCUAAAAUAUGUACAUAUUGCCCGUCAUUCUUAUUAAAAAUAAGACAAGUCGUAACAAAGUAAAUGUACUGGAAAGUGUAUUUAGAAAGAUUUAAUAUUUUAUAAA
rnacentral:rRNA from 1 species